GAUGAACGCUAGCGGCAGGCCUAACACAUGCAAGUCGAGGGGUAUAAGUCUUCGGACUUUGAGACCGGCGCACGGGUGCGUAACGCGUAUGCAAUCUACCUUGUACAGAGGGAUAGCCCAGAGAAAUUUGGAUUAAUACCUCAUAGUAUAUUUGAAUGGCAUCAUUUAAAUAUUAAAGUUCCAACGGUACAAGAUGAGCAUGCGUCCCAUUAGUUAGUUGGUGUGGUAACGGCACACCAAGACGAUGAUGGGUAGGGGUCCUGAGAGGGAGAUCCCCCACACGGGUACUGAGACACGGACCAGACGCAUAGGGGGGGAAGCGGUGAGGAAUAUUGGGCAAUGGAGGCAACUCUGAACCAGCCAUGCCGCGUGCAGGAUGACGGUCCUAUGGAUUGUAAACUGCUUUUAUACGGGAAGAAAAAGAGUUACGUGUAACUUAUUGACGGUACCGUAAGAAUAAGGAUCGGCUAACUCCGUGCCAGCCGCCGCGGUAA
rnacentral:rRNA from 1 species